GGAGGCAUAGCCAAGUGGUAAGGCAAGGGACUGCAAAUCCCUGAUCCCCAGUUCGAAUCUGGGUGCCUCCUCCA
rnacentral:tRNA from 1 species